CAAUAGAAGUAAUUCACACAUGAUGAAUGAUGGUGAAAUACUGAUGGGCUGAACUUUUAUUCAUUCUGUACUUUAGAUACUAAAACAUUUUAUUUGACAGCAUGUGUACUUUAAAAGUCUUAGGUUAAAUGUAAGGUUUUCAAGGAAAAAUAUCAUCAUUCAUUGCAGCAAUAGAAAUACCAUGCUCAUCUGGGUUCUACUGGCUGUAGGCUUAGGGCUGCUGCUGAUAUUGGCCACCAUUAUAACCUGGAUCUUGACAAAAAAGUGUAAUGGAAAUCAAACACGGAGGGUCAGUAACACUGCAGUACACACAGCAUCUACGACUGAAAGCCCAGUGAUAUACAGUGCUGUGACUUUUAAAAAUAAAAAGUCUUCAUCUGCAUUGGAUCGUGAAAAUGACGUCAUCUACAGCAGCGUAACCACAACAACCAAAAAGAAAACUCUCUCUCAGGCAGUCAGAGAUGAUGAAGUGAUCUACAGCUCUGUGGUUUUGGAGU